rnacentral:rRNA from 1 species
AGCGAACGCUGGCGGCAGGCCUAACACAUGCAAGUCGAACGAAGUCUUCGGACUUAGUGGCGGACGGGUGAGUAACACGUGGGAACGUGCCUUUAGGUUCGGAAUAACUCAGGGAAACUUGUGCUAAUACCGAAUGUGCCCUUCGGGGGAAAGAUUUAUCGCCUUUAGAGCGGCCCGCGUCUGAUUAGCUAGUUGGUGAGGUAAAGGCUCACCAAGGCGACGGUCAGUAGCUGGUCUGAGAGGAUGAUCAGCCACAUUGGGACUGAGACACGGCCCAAACUCCUACGGGAGGCAGCAGUGGGGAAUCUUGCGCAAUGGGCGAAAGCCUGACGCAGCUAUGCCGCGUGAAUGAUGAAGGUCUUAGGAUUGCAAAAUUCUUUCACCGGGGACGAUAAUGACGGUACCCGGAGAAGAAGCCCCGGCUAACUUCGUGCCAGCCGCCGCGGUAACAC